rnacentral:ncRNA from 1 species
UAUAUUUGCGCCGCUGAUUAGCAUACAUAAAAAUCAUUUAAAAUAAUAUUGGCAUG